CCCAGACUAGGGAGGGGCCGGUCGGGGGCACCGAGGUGGAUCCGCUGAACACAUUCCAAAGGCCGAGAUAAAGCGGGGAUGGGGUCGCUCAGUGCAGCUGAUAUCUGUGACAUAUUAACCGCCGGCAGCGUGUCACAGCGCAGCCAAAGUCCGCAGAAUAUUGCAUGUCGCGCAAUAAUCUGCACAGCUGACACAACAGCCGGACACAUUCUUCCCUCUGUUGCACCUUCUUUGGUUUAAAUUAAGUAUUUCCAGGGUGACUUUAGGAUGACGUUUUGUCACACCUGACAAGCAUCAGUGUGUUUGGGGCAGCAUUUUUCAGCAAUAAGUGGCGAAAUGAAAGGCAUGUUUCACCAAGUCCGCCUCUGCCACCUGGUAAACCGCUCCUCCGAUUCCUUUGGCGUGAUAUGAACAAAGAAGCUCCCCAUCAGUGUAGUUUUUCAUCAGCAGCGUCAGCUAGGAUACUCUUUCAGAAUGUGGCUUCCACCUCCGUCAGUGGGCAAGCCAAGAUCCUGCUGUGAUCAGCCACGUACCAUCUGAGCCCAACUUCAGCGAUGAAGCAUCACCAACAGUUUCCAUGUUGAAGGCACUGCCACAGCACAGGAUCUGAUACACACAACAACGAAGAAAGAAUCUGAAUACAGGGGCCCGUU